AACGAACGCUGGCGGCAGGCUUAACACAUGCAAGUCGAGCGCCCCGCAAGGGGAGCGGCAGACGGGUGAGUAACGCGUGGGAAUCUACCCAAUACUACGGAAUAGCUCCGGGAAACUGGAAUUAAUACCGUAUGUGCCCUACGGGGGAAAGAUUUAUCGGUAUUGGAUGGGCCCGCGUUGGAUUAGCUAGUUGGUGGGGUAAUGGCCUACCAAGGCGACGAUCCAUAGCUGGUCUGAGAGGAUGAUCAGCCACACUGGGACUGAGACACGGCCCAGACUCCUACGGGAGGCAGCAGUGGGGAAUAUUGGACAAUGGGCGAAAGCCUGAUCCAGCCAUGCCGCGUGAGUGAUGAAGGCCUUAGGGUUGUAAAGCUCUUUUAGCAGGGAAGAUAAUGACGGUAUCUGCAGAAAAAGCCCCGGCUAACUUCGUGCCAGCCGCCGCUGUAACAC
rnacentral:rRNA from 1 species